rnacentral:rRNA from 1 species
GAGGAAUAUUGCGCAAUGGGGGAAACCCUGACGCAGCGACGCCACGUGAGUGAGGAAGGUUUUCGGAUCGUAAAGCUCUGUCAGAAGGGAAGAAGUGUUAUAUGUUUAAUACGCA